rnacentral:rRNA from 1 species
GGUUGACCUCGGAUCAGGUAGGAAUACCCGCUGAACUUAAGCAUAUCAAUAAGCGGAGGAAAAGAAACCAACAGGGAUUGCCUCAGUAACGGCGAGUGAAGCGGCAACAGCUCAAAUUUGAAAUCUGGCCUCUUCGGGGUCCGAGUUGUAAUUUGUAGAGGAUGUUUCGGGUACCGCCUCGGUUUAAAUUUCUUGGAACAGAAUGUCAGAGAGGGUGAGAAUCCCGUCUUGGACCGGCGGUAGGGCCCAUGUGAAACUCCUUCGACGAGUCGAGUUGUUUGGGAAUGCAGCUCAAAAUGGGUGGUAAAUUUCAUCUAAAGCUAAAUAUUGGCCAGAGACCGAUAGCGCACAAGUAGAGUGAUCGAAAGAUGAAAAGAACUUUGAAAAGAGAGUUAAACAGUAUGUGAAAUUGUUGAAAGGGAAGCGCUUACAACCAGACUUGAGCGCGGCGGUUCCCCCUUCCUUUUGGUUGGGUUACUCCGCCGUGUCCAGGCCAACAUCGGUUCUGGGGGUCGGUUAAAGGCCUGGGGAAUGUAUCUACUCCUUCGGGGGUAGACUUAUAGCCCCGGGUGUCAUGCGACCACCCGGGACCGAGGAACGCGCUUCGGCUCGGAUGUUGGCGUAAUGGUUGUCAGCGACCCGUCUUGAAACACGGACCAAGGAGUCUAA